rnacentral:rRNA from 1 species
AUACGUAGGUGGCAAGCGUUGUCCGGAAUUAUUGGGCGUAAAGCACGCGCAGGUGGUUCCUUAAGUCUGAUGUGAAAGCCCCCGGCUCAACCGGGGAGGGUCAUUGGAAACUGGGGAACUUGAGUGCAGAAGAGGAUAGUGGAAUUCCAAGUGUAGCGGUGAAAUGCGUAGAGAUUUGGAGGAACACCAGUGGCGAAGGCGACUGUCUGGUCUGUAACUGACACUGAGGCGCGAAAGCGUGGGGAGCAAACAGGAUUAGAUACCCUGGUAGUCCACGCCGUAAACGAUGAGUGCUAAGUGUUGGGGGGUUUCCGCCCCUCAGUGCUGCAGCUAACGCAUUAAGCACUCCGCCUGGGGAGUACGGUCGCAAGACUGAAACUCAAAGGAAUUGACGGGG